AUUGAACGCUGGCGGCAUGCUUUACACAUGCAAGUCGAACGGCAGCGCGGGCUUCGGCCUGGCGGCGAGUGGCGAACGGGUGAGUAAUGCAUCGGAACGUGCCCAGUAGUGGGGGAUAGCCCGGCGAAAGCCGGAUUAAUACCGCAUACGACCUGAGGGUGAAAGCGGGGACCGAAAGGCCUCGCGCUAUUGGAGCGGCCGAUGUCGGAUUAGCUAGUUGGUGGGGUAAAGGCUUACCAAGGCGACGAUCCGUAGCUGGUCUGAGAGGACGACCAGCCACACUGGGACUGAGACACGGCCCAGACUCCUACGGGAGGCAGCAGUGGGGAAUUUUGGACAAUGGGGGCAACCCUGAUCCAGCCAUGCCGCGUGCGGGAAGAAGGCCUUCGGGUUGUAAACCGCUUUUGUUCGGGAAGAAAUCCUCUGGGCUAAUACCCCGGGGGGAUGACGGUACCGGAAGAAUAAGCACCGGCUGACUACGUG
rnacentral:rRNA from 1 species